rnacentral:hammerhead_ribozyme from 1 species
AAGCGAAACGACCACCCCCCCAGGGGGGUAGUCGUCGCUCGGGGGUGGUGCCCCGGGCCUGAUGAUGCAGCCAAGU